rnacentral:rRNA from 1 species
UUCCGGUUGAUCCUGCCGGAGGCGACCGCUUUUGGAGUUCGAUUAAGCCAUGCGAGUCGAGAGCUUUCGGAGCUCGGCAUACUGCUCAGUAACACGUGGAUAACAUGCCCUAUUGUCUGGAAUAACCUCGGGAAACUGAGAACAAUGCCGGAUAGCCCACAAUGCCUGGAACGGUUUGUGGGUGAAGAUAGGAUGGGUCUGCGGCGUAUCAGGUCGUAGGGGGUGUAAUGGACCUCCUAGCCAUCGACGCGUACGGGUGUUGGGAGACAUAGCCCGGAGAUGGAUUCUGAGACACGAAUCCAGACCCUACGGGGUGCAGCAGGCGCGAAAACUUCACACUGCAGGAAACUGUGAUGAGGGAACUCCAAGUGCUAUCACUAUGUGGUAGCUUUUCUUAACUAUUAAUCGGUUUUGGAAUAAGGGCUGGGAAAGACCGGUGCCAGCCGCCGCGGUAAUACCGGCAGCUCAAGUGGUCGUCGCUUUUAUUGGGCCUAAGACGUCCGUAGCCUGUUUAGUAAAUUCGUGGGUAAAUCAACCAGCUUAACUGGUUGAAUUCUGCAAAGACUGCUAGACUAGGGACCGGGAGAGGUGUGAGGUACUCUAGGGGUAGAGGUAAAAUUCUGUCAUCCUUGGAGGACCACCAGUUGCGAAGGCGUCACACUAGAACGGAUCCGACGGUCAGGGACGAAGCCUAGGGGCACGAACCGGAUUAGAUACCCGGGUAGUCCUAGGUGUAAACGCUGUGAACUUGGUGUCGGGAUUCCGUCAGGGGACCUCGGUGCCGAAGUGAAGAUGUUAAGUUCACUGCCUGGGGAGUACGGUCGCAAGGCUGAAACUUAAAGGAAUUGGCGGGGCAGCAC